rnacentral:rRNA from 1 species
UACGAAGGGUGCAACCGUUGCUCGGAAUUAUUGGGCGUAAAGCGCACGUAGGCGGCUUUGCAAGUCCCAUGUGAAAGCCCACGGCUUAACCGUGGAAGUGCAUGGGAAACUGCAGAGCUUGAGUACUUAAGAGGAUCGCGGAAUUCCCGGUGUAGAGGUGAAAUGCGCAGAUAUCAGGAAGAACACCAGUGGCGAAGGCGGUGCUCUGGGCCGGAACUGACGCUGAGGAGCGAAAGCGUGGGGAGCAAACAGG